AGAGAUUAAACUGAAGAGUUUGAUCCUGGCUCAGAUUGAACGCUGGCGGCAUGCCUUACACAUGCAAGUCGAACGGCAGCACGGAGCUUGCUCUGGU
rnacentral:rRNA from 1 species